UGAGCAACCUGCCCUUAGCUCUGGGAUAACCCCGGGAAACCGGGGCUAAUACCGGAUACGAGUCCGAGCGGCAUCACACGGACUGGAAAGUUUUUCGGCUAAGGAUGGGCUCGCGGCCUAUCAGCUUGUUGGUGAGGUAAUGGCUCACCAAGGCGACGACGGGUAGCCGACCUGAGAGGGUGAUCGGCCACAUUGGAACCGAGACACGGUCCAGACUCCUACGGGAGGCAG
rnacentral:rRNA from 1 species